rnacentral:lncRNA from 1 species
AAUUCACAAUCGAUUUGAAAGAGUUCUAAUCGCCCACUGCCUUGCUAAAAGGAACCUAACGGAUCGUACACCGUGUAAGGUAGAGAUUGAAGAAACAAAGGAGAUGAGUAAGAAUAAUUAAAUGGUUUAAUUAUUUAUGGCAAGGAUUAAUUAAUAUGUUAAUUAAUCAAACGAAUAAAGUUCUUUAAAAGACCACGGGUUAGUUUUGGGCCUCAAGGCCCAAUGGGCUUCGAAAGUUAAGCCCAUUGACUUAAGUUGUAUGACAACUUAAUUCACAAAGGCCCAAUAAGCCCAAUAAAACCCUAUGGACGGCCAUUUAGAGGAAGGGUAGUGAACUUUCUUUAAUUGCAAGUUUGCCACUCCAAUGAAUAAAGGUAUAAAUAUGACUUUAUAGCCAAAAUUCAUUUAGGGUUUUUUUUGAGGAAAUUGGAGAGAACACAAAGCUCUCCUUUCUCUCUAAAGAGGCCGGCCACCCUUGGAGGGAUUAGCUAGUAAUCUUUCUCCUCCAAGGUCACUAAUCUCUUCUUCACAUCUUACCUUGGUGUGGAGACUUAGAGGUUCUCUAUUUUGAGAACUUGGAGAAACAUAUUCUUCCAUCCAAAUCCAUGGAUCUAAGAAGCAAGGAAUGAAGGCCCUCUCCUUGGGUGAUUAUCCUUUGCUUAUGCAAAGAGGAAUCAAGAAAGGUAUAAUUUCUCAACUCACUUUCUUUUGAGUUGAGUCUUGGUUCACCUAACUACUAGGCUUUGAAUUUCUUGGGUAAUGUUUUGUUUUGAGUGCAUGCAAGCAUGAUUCCGCCUUUAAUUUGUUAAUUGCAUGCUAUAUAUGUUGCUCAAAUGAACUUGUUUUUCAUAAAAUUUUCCUUCAAGUGGUAUCAGAGCCUAGGUCUAGUAGUUGGUGAAUCCUUUUGGGUUUUGUAGUUCAUAGUCUUUGAUUUAAAUGUUGUAAUAUGUUACAAGCUUUAUUCUUGUUUCUUUGAAUGUAAAUUUUGUUGGAAAAUUUGCCAUCUCAAAUGUUGUAGAUGUAGUUCAUAUGAGCAUGAAUAUUGGAGCUAAAAUUUGGUGCCAUGUUUUUGGGAAAAUUCGGCCAAAUCCAAAGGGUGGAUUUUUGGGUUCAUGUUUGACUUGUUAAAAGUGUUUUCCAGUAACUUUUGGAACCCCUUGUUGAGCAAAAAUUGUACAUAAUAUGUAAACAAAUAAUUCACUCGACACAAUUUCACCCUCGUUCAAUUUUCCGAAGAGGGUUUUAUUAAUUCGAGUUCGACCCAUUCUAGGCUACGUGCCUAUUAAUUACAACCUUCCUUUUGGGAAAGAAAUACCCUUUGAUUCCAUUUCGGAAAAAAUGUAACUUGAGGAUUUUGGGGCUUGUUUGAUUUUGUGACAGCAUCUAGGUCGAAUCCUAGAUUACCUACGUACCCCCUUGAGGAAUCAAGUCACUCGUAGUUCAUGGAUUUGGUACUUAUUUGGAUUUGAUGCCUUGUGCAAUUUUAGCUCAUGCGGGCGAGGAGCAUAGUGCCUUAUGCAGUUUCAGCUCAUGCGGGCGAGGAGCAUUUGAAAAUUUGAUAUGGCUUCAUGCCAUUUGAGACUUUUCUUCGGCUUUGUGCCAUUUGAGACUUUGAUACGGCUUCGUGCCCAUUUGAAAACUUUUCUUCAAUUUCGUGCCAUUUUGGUAUUUGAUAGCAGGAGUGAAUUUAGUUUAUAUAAACAAGGGAUUCGUUUCGGUUUCACGGUUGCGUCUAAAACUUGAUAUUAGACUGCCUACGUAUCCUUAACGGAAUCAAACCGGCGUAGUUCAUUAUUUUGAAUGACUUUUGAAGCGACUUUAUGCCUUUGAGUUUUGACACGGCUUUGUACCGUUUUGAGAUUUGAUACGGCUUCGUGCCAUUUGACUUCUUCAAGAAUUUUAUGGGAGCUUGAUCCAUGUAUUUAUCGAGCUUUUUUUUUUUUGCUUUGAGAUGGUUUGCGUCCACGGUGUUUGGAAUGACUUGUGUUGUCAUUGUCUCUGUGCUUAUACUGUAAGUUUCGUUGACUUGGAUCUAACUUAAUGGGUGCUUGAAUCUACAAAAUCCACUUUGGUGAAAACAAAAUGAUAGACUCACGGGAUUAACUUCCAUUAGCUUGCUGAAAAGCUUCUUUCAUAUUUUAAUCCUAGUAAAUUGGGACUUUAUCUUUGCUUGACUUUUCCUCAUGGUUUUGUAGCAAUUCCAUCCUAUUUGAAAUAGGACUUUUUGAAACUUUAAAAGAAUGAAAGCCCCCCCCCCCCCCCUUUUUAUAACUUUGCUUUUGAGUUUUCAAACCCAUUUGCCAUGGGAUUUUGAACCCAUUUAUUCCAAGACCCAAGUUUUCAUUUAAUCUGACAACAGGCUUUGUUUUCUUUUUUUUUAUGUGAUUUUAAGGCUUCAAGUUUUAAUAGGACUUCCAAUUUCAACCACUCCCUUUUUCUUCACGUGAGCACUCCCAUGUGAAGUACAAUUUUCACUUUUUUUUUUUGUGGCCGAGACUUGAAGGCAAAGUGGGUCUUCAAUAUUUACUUUUCUUUGAGCAGACUCCCACGUAAGGGGUUCAGUUAUUUCACCCCCUCUGCUUGCGAGAUGGUUUCAAAGGAAUCCUCUUUUUCCUUGGCUCUUGACGCACAGUGUUCUUCUACCAGAAGCUAAAGGCAGCUCCCGUUGAUUUUGCCAUAUUUUUUGAAAUUCCUUUUGGAUUUGUCAGCCGUUGAUUUCCAAACGAAGAUGGGUAAGCUUGGUGGAAUUCAAACUCUUUUGAAUUAUUCUAAUUUAUCUUCUUUCCUUAAACUGUAGAGACCUUUUUAUGUAGGUCACAGACUCUCUUUUCUUUCUGCUGUACCAUCUUGCUUAUGCUUCUCUUGUGUACCGAAAAUUCAAAGUGAAAAGGAGAAAAUAACCAGCAGGUCAUACCAUUUUCGUUUUCUAUUUUCUGUACUUGAUUUGGAGUGGGUUGAAGCUGCUCUGAACUAUGAUAAAUUUUUUUAUGUAGGCGUCGCAGGCUUGGCUGUUGGAUACACUAUUUGCAGUACCGAGUUCGUUGAAAACAAUUAUUGACUCAUGGCUCCAAAGGUGAGAUUCUGCAUUUAGAAGUUUGUAGUAACGUGCUCAUAGUAUCUGCUAUACUUUUGAAUGGGUUUUGAUGUAUUAUCACUCUCUGGCAUUUCUGUUUCCGCAUAAAGGAUUAUUUGACUGGUCUUAACAGUGGACAUUUGGACACCUCUUUUGUGUUCCCAUUUAUGUUUUGCCUCUGAUAUUUAACACUUGCAUAAAGUGAUACUUUUCCCAAAAUCUUUUGUAGUCUUGAUUUGUCUUCUAGUUCUUUGGGUGUUAAUAUGAAGGCUGCCAUGUGGGUGAGUUUUCUGAUUAAUUUGGAAGGUUUGACAGUAAACUUUUUUCUUUUUUUUUUUUAUUGAACUUGAGACAGCUUGAACCCUUUUUAAUCUAACUUUUCCGUGGUAAGGGAACAAAUGUCCUUUAGCUAUGUAUUUAGAGGUUGGCAUGGUCAACAUUUUUGACCCAAUGUUUGAUCAAACUGAUAGUCACACUUAGGUCCUUCGAAAGACGUCUUCUUCUUUUCCUUUGUCUUUAUUAAAAGUUGAUUUGAAGAAUUUUUCUUUUGUGGAAUUGGACCAAGCAUGAGUCGGUCAAGGGCAGUUUUGGCUUCCUUUUCCUUUGCUAACCAUCUUUUCCAUUUUCUCCUUUUUCUUGGACUUUAUCCCCAAUAAGUUUUCAUAUAAUUUUUAGCCAAAGCCAUCCUCCAUGUUUUGUACCCGUGGGUAGCAAAAACAAAAACACCAAAUAGAAUAAUUUAUUUUCUCUUUCUUGAGUUGCAUCUUUGUAUAUGUUGACUCCUUGCUGUCUUACUUCUCAGGAACUCAAGCUUAGAACUUUGAAAUUGCACUUGACAAUCUGGCGAAUGAGUAGACCAUUUAAACUUGGUUAAAAUUUCACGGGGUGGUCUAGGCCACCCCGAAGAAAUUCAUGGGAUUCUUGGAGAUUAUCUCUGCUGCAGCUGGGGAGUCAGUGGAUAUUUAGAGUCUCCAACUCCAUUUAAUUGGUGAAGAACGCCAAACAAAGAGGCAAAGGUCUUAUAUGCUCUUGCUUGUUUCCCUUUCCUCAUUCAUUGCAGCUUUUUAUUUUUGUGUUUGCUGCCACAAUUUUUUUUGUUCUUCUUGCAACAUAACAUCAAACAAGAGAAAAAGAAUAAUUUUAAAAGAACUUGCUUCAUACCUGGUGAUGAAUGUUCUUCUUUUGGAUCUUGAUUCAAAAGCACAAAAUGGUUGAAUAGCUUGCUCUCUUUCCUGGCAGCACCUUGUUGCUUUUGGUAUUUUCUCUAAAAGUUGCUUCUUAUUUUCUACAGAGUUUCCCCUCUUUUUUCUGUCUCCUCCCUUUUUACUUGCUGCAGGUGAUGCUUAUUUAUAGGCAUCCUAGGAAAGCUCUAGAAUUUGUUACGUGGGGGAGAGGUAGAGGCCAUGACCUCCUGCCACUUUCUGUUAACCACCAUUUCUGACUCCACGUUCCUUUUUGUUUGCAGAAAAUGGGGAGCACCUUUUUUUUUCUUUUGUGCACGUUACUUCCCCCCUUUUGUAGGAGAAAAUAAAUUUUAUUUGUGGGUAAAAGCCCAUCCUCAUCUUUUGGGCUUGGAUUACACCUUGUAGUUUGACCCCAUUUGUGUGGACUCUAUUUUUUCAUAUGUUUAUUAUUAUUAUUUUGUUUUUGUUCAACACCCCUAUGUACCCUAGUUUGGUUAUAUGUUAUUUCCCUUAAGUUUGAAUGGUUUUGGGAGGUCUUUGGGUGAAAAAUGUUCAUGGAGAUUUUUGAAUUUUUCAUGAAUGUUCUUCAUUGUUCUUGAUAUUUUAGCAAAGAACAAAAAGUUUGGUGUUUUGAUUCAAAGUUUUGAUUUAUUUCAUAAAGUUUUUGUUUUGUGCUUUUCAAAUGUUUAAAUGUGUUAGAUAUUUAUUUAGAAAGGUGAUAGAAAUAUUGAUGGGUGUGUAAGGAUUAAUUCCCUUUCACACACACCACUUGCAUGACUUUUGUGUCAUGCACCUCAUGCAUGACUUUAUGUCAAAACUACAAAUCAACACACACAUCACUCCCUUUAAUAUCUAAAACCGGCCACCCUAUUAAAAUAGGGUACUUUUGGGGCUUUUAUGCAAUUACAUUUGUGUAUUUGCACUUUGGCCCAAAAGUUUAUGUUUUUACGUUUAGGUCCAAAAAUGCUAAAGGACAAAUAGUUUUGUUCCUUUAAUGAAGUUUUUGUAUUUGUUGAAAUUUUUAGGUUCUAGUUGUAAUUACAUGAAGUAGUGGACUUUUGUGUUUUUACAAAGUGACCCCAAAAGUUUGUGUUUCGCAAUAUAGCCCAAAAAGUUGUGGUUAUUGCAUGUUGGCCCAAAUUAGGUAGAGAACAAAAUUGUUUUGUCUCUUUAAAUGAGAAUUGGAUUUUCAUUUCAUUUAGCUCCAUUUAAAUCAAUUUUAUGGAUACAAAAACCAAAUGAAAAUGUUGCAUUCAAGUUUAAUUAGUUAAAGCGUUAAUUAAUUAAAGGGUGAUUAUGAACCUAAGCCUACGAUAAUUGAGCUAUGUGAAAGGCCGUUUCAAAUUUGUUUGAACCAUGGGAAUGUGUAGAUUAGAUUUUGGUUGUAAUUUGAUUUGAUCAAAUGUUGUACAGAGCAUAAGCUCAUCUUUACUUUGAAGUACUCCUUUCUUGUUUUAUUUGAUAUGCAUGAAAAUGGAGUAGCGGGUCCAACGCCCAAUAAGACAACACGCCUUAAUGUGAUUAAACGCGUAACUAAAAUCAAUCACCAUCCCUAGACUGAGUGAUGCGAAAAUUAACUUAACACACAAAUUAAACCCUCUUUUUGUCAAUUGUAGUAAAGAAUGUAAGUAGGGAUCGUUCUAGGCC